GUCAAUAUGUGCUACUGGAGGAGGAGAGGAAUCAAUGUUCCUACUGAGCUCUGACUCCUGCAAGCUACAGUGACAAUUGGCCUGGCAAGAUGCACCCACCCACUGGAGUAACAGUGGCACAGAUGUCAUCCAGCCACAUUCUGCUUGGAUUCGAGGGCAUCUUUCAGUCCUCACUGGGGAAGCUGCCCCCUGCAGUAAAUGGUGACAGUUACAGAGACCCAUGGCUGGCCAAUGUACAGAGAGGAAGAGACCGUGACGUGCUCAGGUAUAAGUGGCACAUCUCCGUCAGAUCAUCUUGGAAGUAUGGUCAAGACCUACAUAAGAUCAAAUCAGCCUACAUCCCAGUAAGGAAGGGGAAGGGCCUGAGUCCCACCUAUAACUGGAAAGAUAUCAAUUUCCAUUAGGGAUUUGAUCCCAGUAGAGGCUUCCAUGCUCCGGUAGAUGGUCCCAUGGGUCCCAUGCCCAUAGAGCCAUCGCUAAGGACUCAACAGGUUUAAGAACGAAGACCGUGAGGUGCAGGGGAAAAGGUUGUGGGGGUAGACUCGAUCAAGAUGCAUUAUACGCAUGUAUGAAAUUCUCAAACAAUAAAAAGAAUAUAAAAAG
rnacentral:lncRNA from 1 species